UCCUGCUUGCUGCGUCAAGGUUUCAAGUUC
rnacentral:piRNA from 1 species